rnacentral:lncRNA from 1 species
UUUAAAAGUAAAAUUCCCCGGGCCCUGAAUCUAUGAAUUCAGGGCCCGGUUUCAAUUUUAGCAGUUCUGUGUUAAUUGCGUGUAGAUGCGGUGUGUCGCCGAAAAUAAUUGCCACUUUUACUUUGUGCAUUGCUGGGCUGGUCUGGGAGUUUUCGAUUUAUAUUUUGGGUGGGUUGGGGUCGAGAAGCAUGACGUAGAGGUUUGUCAGCUAAUCAAAUACGAAGGGUGGACGCAUUACACAUUGGCUCCGGCUGACCGAUGGGAAAUGUAUCCCAUCACUCUGUUCAUACUUGGCUUUUUCGAC